rnacentral:rRNA from 1 species
ACGCUAGCGAUAGGCUUAACACAUGCAAGUCGAGGGGCAGCGAGAUGUAGCAAUACGUCGUCGGCGACCGGCGAAUGGGUGAGUAACACAUAUGCAACUUACCUCUUAGUGGUGAAUAACUCGAUGAAAGUCGGACUAAUACACCAUACUCUCCUUAGAUCACAUGAGAAGAGGAGGAAAGAUUAAUCGCUAAGAGAUAGGCCUGCGUUCCAUUAGCUAGUUGGUAAGGUAACGGCUUACCAAGGCAACGAUGGAUAGGGGGACUGAGAGGUUGACCCCCCACAUUGACACUGAGAUACGGGUCAAACUCCUACGGGAGGCAGCAGUGAGGAAUAUUGGUCAAUGGGCGAGAGCCUGAACCAGCCAAGUCGCGUGAAGGAAGACUGCCCGCAAGGGUUGUAAACUUCUUUUGUAUGGGAUUAAAGUCGUCUACGUGUAGACGUUUGCAGUUACCAUACGAAUAAGCAUCGGCUAACUCCGUGCCAGCAGCCGCGGUAAUACGGAGGAUGCGAGCGUUAUCCGGAAUUAUUGGGUUUAAAGGGUGCGUAGGUUGCAAGGGAAGUCAGGGGUGAAAAGCUAUAGCUCAACUAUGGUCUUGCCUUUGAAACUCUCUAGCUAGAGUGUACUGGAGGUACGUGGAACGUGUGGUGUAGCGGUGAAAUGCAUAGAUAUCACACAGAACUCCGAUUGCGCAGGCAGCGUACUACAUUACAACUGACACUGAAGCACGAAAGCGUGGGUAUCAAACAGGACUAGAUACCCUGGUAGUCCACGCAGUAAACGAUGAAUACUAGAUCUAUGCGAUAUACAGUAUGGGUCUAAGCGAAAGCGAUAAGUAUUCCACCUGGGGAGUACGCCGGCAACGGUGAAACUCAAAGAGAUUGGCGGGGGUCCGCACAA